rnacentral:tRNA from 1 species
CGGGGUAUGGCGCAGCCCGGCUAGCGCACCUGCUUUGGGAGCAGGGGGUCGCAGGUUCGAAUCCUGCUACCCCGA